rnacentral:rRNA from 1 species
UACGGGGGGGGCAAGCGUUGUUCGGAAUUACUGGGCGUAAAGGGCUCGUAGGCGGCCAACUAAGUCAUACGUGAAAUCCCUCGGCUUAACCGGGGAACUGCGUCUGAUACUGGAUGGCUUGAGUAUGGCAGAGGUGUGUGGAACUCCGAGUGUAGAGGUGAAAUUCGUAGAUAUUCGGAAGAACACCAGUGGCGAAGGCGACACACUGGGCCAUUACUGACGCUGAGGCUCGGAAAGCGUGGGGAGCAAACAGG